ACUGGGGGUUGUGGUGUGCCCCUGUAAUCCAACUACUUGGAGGUCGGGUUCUGAGGAUGAUUUGCGGUCGGGAUCAACUGUGUCUGGGUGCUACUACGUUGACUGGAUGUCCGCACUAAGCUGGCCAUCAACAUGGUGUAUUCUGGGGAGCCAAUUUACACCAGGUUAGCUAAGGAGGGGCGAAUCGGGCCAGGGGGGAAACCCAGCAGCCAAAAGUCCCCGUGGUUUGCAGUAGUGGGAUCGCGUCCAUGAGUGGGGCCCCAGUUACAGCCCAACCAAUAUAAUUAGACCAGAAUCUUU
rnacentral:SRP_RNA from 1 species